UACGGGGGGAGCAAGCGUUGUUCGGAUUACUGGGCGUAAAGGGCGGGUAGGCGGCCACCGCAAGUCGACUGUGAAAUCUCCGGGCUUAACCCGGAAAGGUCAGCCGAUACUGCGGGGCUAGAGUGCAGAAGGGCAACUGGAAUUCUCGGUGUAGCGGUGAAAUGCGUAGAUAUCGAGAGGAACACCUGCGGCGAAGGCGGGUAGCUGGGCCGACACUGACGCUGAGGCGCGAAAGCCAGGGAGCGAACGGG
rnacentral:rRNA from 1 species